rnacentral:rRNA from 1 species
GGCUUAGAGUUUGAUCAUGGCUCAGGACGAACGCUGGCGGCGUGCUUAACACAUGCAAGUCGAACGGGGUGUUUAUUUCGGUAAACACCAAGUGGCGAACGGGUGAGUAACGCGUAAGCAAUCUACCUUCAAGAUGGGGACAACACUUCGAAAGGGGUGCUAAUACCGAAUGAAUGAGAGAUGACCGCAUGGAUAUUUCUCAAAGGAGGCCUCUGAAAAUGCUUCCGCUUGAAGAUGAGCUUGCGUCUGAUUAGCUAGUUGGUGAGGGUAAAGGCCCACCAAGGCGACGAUCAGUAGCCGGUCUGAGAGGAUGAACGGCCACAUUGGGACUGAGACACGGCCCAGACUCCUACGGGAGGCAGCAGUGGGGAAUCUUCCGCAAUGGGCGAAAGCCUGACGGAGCAACGCCGCGUGAACGAAGAAGGUCUUAGGAUCGUAAAGUUCUGUUGUUAGGGGCGAAGGGCAACAUUUUGAAUAAGGGUGUUGUUUGACGGUACUUAACGAGGAAGCCACGGCUAACUACGUGCCAGCAGCCGCGGUAAUACGUAGGCGGCAAGCGUUGUCCGGAAUUAUUGGGCGUAAAGGGAGCGCAGGCGGGAAGUUAAGCGGACUUUAAAAGUGCGGGGCUCAACCCCGUGAGGGGGUCCGAACUGAUUUUCUUGAGUGCAGGAGAGGGAAGCG